rnacentral:rRNA from 1 species
CCUACGGGUGGCAGCAGUGAGGAAUAUUGGUCAAUGGGCGAGAGCCUGAACCAGCCAAGUCGCGUGAGGGAUGACGGUCCUAUGGAUUGUAAACCUCUUUUGUCGGGGAACAAAGGCGUCCACGUGUGGACUGAUGAGUGUACCCGAAGAAAAAGCAUCGGCUAACUCCGUGCCAGCAGCCGCGGUAAUACGGAGGAUGCGAGCGUUAUCCGGAUUUAUUGGGUUUAAAGGGUGCGCAGGCGGAGGUGCAAGUCAGCGGUCAAAUUGCGGGGCGCAACCCCGUACUGCCGUUGAAACUGCAUCCCUUGAGUGCGCGAGAAGUAUGCGGAAUGCGUGGUGUAGCGGUGAAAUGCAUAGAUAUCACGCAGAACUCCGAUUGCGAAGGCAGCAUACCGGCGCGCAACUGACGCUCAUGCACGAAAGCGUGGGUAUCGAACAGGAUUAGAUACCCCAGUAGUC